rnacentral:pre_miRNA from 1 species
GAAGUACUCCCUCCGUUCAGAAUUACUUGUCACAGAAAUGGAUGUAUCUAGAUGUAUUUUAGUUUUAGAUACAUCCAUAUCCAAGACAAGUAAUUCCGAACGGAGGGAGUACCAC